rnacentral:lncRNA from 1 species
AUGAGUUUCACCUGCUCAUCCAGGAAGUGGCUCCAGGAAGUCCAGAGGUGGAGUCUGCGCGGGGAGAACCGAGGCCUGCGGACCCACAGGGCCUGGCGCAGGUUCUUCUCCGUCAGCCGGGCAGCUUCCACGGCGUCCUGGGCUUUACCCACUGCUCUUGGAACGGCUUCGGCACGUCCUGGAAGAGGGCGCGGCCACGGCGCUGCUUUUGCCUUUUCCACUGAGCUCGGGCCCUCCGGCUUCUCCUCGGCCAGUUCGCGAAACGAUGCCUCACGCCCUCGAGAGCUGCUGCGUUGGGUCAAAAGAGAAGCGCAGAGACAGUUGCAGUUCAGCACAUAGAAAAUUAGAAACGCCCGUCUACUCAGGAGUAAAGACUUCAAGAAACACCAGGAAGAGGAAAGACUUAGGACUCACCUGGGAUGACAACACAGCUACAUGAUCGUCCUCACCCCUCCGGGUAAAAUACAAACUUCCCAAACAAUGGCUAACAAUCCAGGGAAAUAUUCCUCCCUUCGCCAAACCAUCCUUGAUCCGCUGUCCCUGAAACUUCCUCAACGCAUACUGACCCUCCAGUAGAGACCAUAACCUCCCCCAACUCUGUCCCCUUCAGACUGUGAUUCCUGGGCCUUGUUAGCAGGCAUUUCGGAUAUAGGUUUCUGCUACCAGGGCUUGGGCUGAUUUGCUUCCAUCACGUGACCUUUAGUGUUUACAUUCGGUCUUCAAACGUGUGAGACUGCAGGUUGUGGCAAGAUAAGCACCCGGCUCCUGUUCUGGCUGCCAUCGGCACAUCAUCAAACCUGCAGGGAUGGUGCUAGGAUGGGGAAGAGCAGGGGUUAUCUCCCAGCCAGGUUGAAACCACCUGUCACACUCGGUCCACGUGCAUGAUUGUGUGAUCCUGUGUGUAUAUCCACACACUAGGCUUUUGGGCCUCCCUGUCCCAUGCUUGUCUCACAAGUCUCCCUGGAGCAUUUGUGCUUUUGUGUCCUCAUACCUGGUGUGGUAGUUCAGCGCCUCUCUCUAUUCCCACAAGCCUCUAAUGUGUGUCACAUACACUGGUUGCGUGUC